AUUAAUAAGCGGAGGAAAAGAAACUAACGAGGAUGCCCUCAGUAACGGCGAGCGAAGCGGGCAGAGCCCAGCACCGAAUCCCCUGCCGCACGGCAGCGGGAACUGUGGUGUUUAGGACAACCUCGGGGAAGCGGUCUGGCGUCCAAGUCCUCCUGAUAGGGGCUUCAUCCAGAGCGGGUGUUAGACCUUUACGGCGCCGGGACGUUUCUCGCGGGAAGUCCCACGAGUCGGGUUGUUUGAGAAUGCAGCCCAAAGCGGGUGGUAGACUCCAUCUAAGGCUAAAUACGGUCACGAGUCCGAUAGCGCACAAGUACCGUGAGGGAAAGUU
rnacentral:rRNA from 1 species